rnacentral:rRNA from 1 species
GAUGAACGCUAGCUACAGGCUUAACACAUGCAAGUCGAGGGGCAGCAUCAUCAAAGCUUGCUUUGAUGGAUGGCGACCGGCGCACGGGUGAGUAACACGUAUCCAACCUGCCGACAACACUGGGAUAGCCUUUCGAAAGAAAGAUUAAUACCGGAUGGCAUAGUUUUCCCGCAUGGGAUAAUUAUUAAAGAAUUUCGGUUGUCGAUGGGGAUGCGUUCCAUUAGGCAGUUGGCGGGGUAACGGCCCACCAAACCAACGAUGGAUAGGGGUUCUGAGAGGAAGGUCCCCCACAUUGGAACUGAGACACGGUCCAAACUCCUACGGGAGGCAGCAGUGAGGAAUAUUGGUCAAUGGACGAGAGUCUGAACCAGCCAAGUAGCGUGAAGGAUGACUGCCCUAUGGGUUGUAAACUUCUUUUAUACGGGAAUAAAGUUAGCCACGUGUGGCUUUUUGUAUGUACCGUAUGAAUAAGGAUCGGCUAACUCCGUGCCAGCAGCCGCGGUAAUACGGAGGAUCCGAGCGUUAUCCGGAUUUAUUGGGUUUAAAGGGAGCGUAGGCGGGUUGUUAAGUCAGUUGUGAAAGUUUGCGGCUCAACCGUAAAAUUGCAGUUGAUACUGGCGACCUUGAGUGCAACAGAGGUAGGCGGAAUUCGUGGUGUAGCGGUGAAAUGCUUAGAUAUCACGAAGAACUCCGAUUGCGAAGGCAGCUUACUGGAUUGUAACUGACGCUGAUGCUCGAAAGUGUGGGUAUCAAACAGGAUUAGAUACCCUGGUAGUCCACACAGUAAACGAUGAAUACUCGCUGUUGGCGAUAUACGGUCAGCGGCCAAGCGAAAGCAUUAAGUAUUCCACCUGGGGAGUACGCCGGCAACGGUGAAACUCAAAGGAAUUGACGGGGGCCCGCACAAGCGGAGGAACAUGUGGUUUAAUUCGAUGAUACGCGAGGAACCUUACCCGGGCUUAAAUUGCAACUGACGGAACCGGAAACGGUUCUUUCUUCGGACAGUUGUGAAGGUGCUGCAUGGUUGUCGUCAGCUCGUGCCGUGAGGUGUCGGCUUAAGUGCCAUAACGAGCGCAACCCUUACGGGUAGUUACCAUCAGGUUAUGCUGGGGACUCUACCCGGACUGCCGUCGUAAGAUGUGAGGAAGGUGGGGAUGACGUCAAAUCAGCACGGCCCUUACGUCCGGGGCUACACACGUGUUACAAUGGGGGGUACAGAAGGCAGCUACACGGCGACGUAGUGCUAAUCCCAAAAGCCUCUCUCAGUUCGGAUUGGAGUCUGCAACCCGACUCCAUGAAGCUGGAUUCGCUAGUAAUCGCGCAUCAGCCACGGCGCGGUGAAUACGUUCCCGGGCCU